rnacentral:rRNA from 1 species
ACGUAGGUGGCAAGCGUUGUCCGGAUUUAUUGGGCGUAAAGCGAGCGCAGGCGGUUCCUUAAGUCUGAUGUGAAAGCCCACGGCUCAACCGUGGAAGGUCAUUGGAAACUGGGGAACUUGAGUGCAGAAGAGGAGAGUGGAAUUCCAUGUGUAGCGGUGAAAUGCGUAGAUAUAUGGAGGAACACCAGUGGCGAAGGCGACUCUCUGGUCUGUAACUGACGCUGGGGCUCGAAAGCGUGGGGAGCAAACAGGAUUAGAUACCCUGGUAGUCCACGCCGUAAACGAUGAGUGCUAAGUGUUGGAGGGUUUCCACCCUUCAGUGCUGCAGCUAACGCAUUAAGCACUCCGCCUGGGGAGUACGGCCGCAAGGCUG